GAUCAUGGACUCAGGAUGAACGCUAGCUACAGGCUUAACACAUGCAAGUCGAGGGGCAGCAUGGUCUUAGCUUGCUAAGGCCGAUGGCGACCGGCGCACGGGUGAGUAACGCGUAUCCAACCUGCCUUACACUCUUGGACAGCCUUCUGAAAGGGAGAUUAAUACAAGAUGUUAUCAUGAGUAAGCAUUUUCACAUGAUUAAAGGUUUACCGGUGUAAGAUGGGGAUGCGUU
rnacentral:rRNA from 1 species